ACGUGCGUAUUAGUGUAUACAUGUGCAUGUUAGCAUAGUUUACUUAGAGGAGAAGUAAUGUUAGUUAGCUAUAUAAGGAUAACCUUAGGCAGAGCUUAAGCUUAACUUGGGAUGUAUAAGAUUUUUCAGAAAGAAAUAUACUAUGCUUCUUUCUCUUCAACUUUCUCUUACUAAAACCCAAAACCUAAAUAUAUUUUUCUGCCAUGGUUAUCAUGGUAUCAGAGCUUCGGCUCUUCGAUUCUUGAUCUUUU
rnacentral:lncRNA from 1 species